rnacentral:misc_RNA from 1 species
AAGUCGUAACAAGGUCUCCGUUGGUGAACCAGCGGAGGGAUCAUUACAGAGUUGCAAAACUCCCAACCCUUUGUGAACGAACUAGUCAGUUGCCUCGGCGGGGAGCCCUUCAGGGGGUAGCCCGCCGGAGGACCACUAAACUCUUAUUGUAUACCCCCUCGCGGGUUUUUUUUUAUAAUCUGAGCCUUCUCGGCGCCUCUCGUAGGCGUUUCGAAAAUGAAUCAAAACUUUCAACAACGGAUCUCUUGGUUCUG